rnacentral:sRNA from 1 species
CACACGUGCUACAAUGGGUAGAACAGAGAGUCGCAAAGCUGUGAAGUGGAGCUAAUCUCAGAAAACUAUUCUUAGUUCGGAUUGUACUCUGCAACUCGAGUACAUGAAGUUGGAAUCGCUAGUAAUCGCGAAUCAGCAAUGUCGCGGUGAAUACGUUCUCGGGUCUUGUACACACCGCCCGUCACACCACGAGAGUUGGUUGCACCUGAAGUAGCAGGCCUAACCGUAAGGAGGGAUGCUCCGAGGGUGUGAUUAGCGAUUGGGGUGAAGUCGUAACAAGGUAUCCGUACGGGAACGUGCGGAUGGAUCACCUCCUUUCUAAGGAGAAAAAGUCUUUCUCUAUUCUAUUGGUAAUGUUCUUAGUAAUUAAGAGAGGAACAUUAAUCAAUCUGAACAUUGGAAACUAUAUAGUAGAACAAACAAGAAUAGAAAAUUAACUCUAACAAUUUCUUAGAGUUAGCUGUCAAAAAAUAGGUUAAAAUAAUUAAGGGCACACAAAGGAUGCCUAGGUAGUAAGAGCCGAUGAAGGGCGUGGUAAGCUGCGAUAAGCCUAG